rnacentral:rRNA from 1 species
GACGUAGGGCGCGAGCGUUGUCCGGAUUUAUUGGGCGUAAAGAGCUCGUAGGCGGUUCGUCGCGUCGGCUGUGAAAACCCGGAGCUCAACUCCGGGCCUGCAGUCGAUACGGGCGGACUUGAGUGUUGCAGGGGAGACUGGAAUUCCUGGUGUAGCGGUGAAAUGCGCAGAUAUCAGGAGGAACACCGGUGGCGAAGGCGGGUCUCUGGGCAACUACUGACGCUGAGGAGCGAAAGCGUGGGGAGCGAACAGG